rnacentral:tRNA from 1 species
GCCUGGGUGGCUGAGUUGGAUAAGCGUCUGACUCUUGGUUUCGGUUCACGUCACGAUCUCACGGUUUGUGGGUUUGAGCCCCGCUUCGGGCU